UACGUAGGUGGCAAGCGUUGUCCGGAUUUACUGGGCGUAAAGAGCGCGCAGGCGGUCGUACAAGUCGCGUGUGAAAGCCCCCGGCUCAACUGGGGAGGGUCACGCGAUACUGUUCGACUCGAAGGCAGGAGAGGGAAGUGGAAUUCCCGGUGUAGUGGUGAAAUGCGUAGAUAUCGGGAGGAACACCAGUGGCGAAGGCGGGUCUCUGGGCCGUAACUGACGCUGAGGAGCGAAAGCAUGGGGAG
rnacentral:rRNA from 1 species